rnacentral:tRNA from 1 species
UCCCUGGUGUUCCACGGUUAGGACUCUGCCCUUCUAAUGCAGGAGGUGUAGGUUCAAUCCCUGGUCAGGGAA